rnacentral:rRNA from 1 species
ACCUGGUUGAUCUUGCCAGUAGUCAUAUGCUUGUCUCAAAGAUUAAGCCAUGCAAGUGAAAGUAUAUGCAUAUUUUAUAUGUAGAAACUGCGAACGGCUCAUUAAAACAGUUAUAAUCUACUUGACAUUUUUUCUAUAAGGAUAACUACGGAAAAGCUGUAGCUAAUACUUGCUUUAGCACUCUUGAUUCAUUUCUUGAGUGUGUACUUGUUAAGCCUUUUAAGAAAAAAGUUAAUAACUUAAGGAAUUAUAACAAAGAAGCGACACGUAAUGGAUCCGUCCAUUUUUAGUGUGUAUCAAUCGAGUUUCUGACCUAUCAGCUUUUGAUGUUAGGGUAUUGGCCUAACAUGGCUAUGACGGGUAACGGGGAAUUAGAGUUCGAUUCCGGAGAGGGAGCCUGAGAAAUAGCUACCACAUCUAAGGAAGGCAGCAGGCGCGUAAAUUACCCAAUUCUAAAGAAGAGAGGUAGUGACAAGAAAUAACAAUACAAGGCCAAUCUGGCUUUGUAAUUGGAAUGAUGGGAAUUUAAAUCCUUCCCAUAAUUCAAUUGGAGGGCAAGUCUGGUGCCAGCAGCCGCGGUAAUUCCAGCUCCAAUAGCGUAUAUUAAAAUUGUUGCAGUUAAAACGCUCGUAGUUGAAUUUCAAAGAAUCGAUAUUUUAAGCAACGCUUCUAGCUUAAUCCACAUAACUGAUACUUCGUAUCGACUUUGUGCGCAUUUUGCUAUUAUGUGUUCUUUUAAUUAAAAUGAUUCUUUUUAAGGACUUUCUUUGCUUCGGCUUGGAAGUCCUUGUUACUUUGAGUAAAUUAGAGUGUUCAAAGCAAACAGAUAUAGCAUUGCGCGUUUGAAUACUACAGCAUGGAAUAACAAAAUUGAACAAGUCAGAAUUUUGUUCUUUUUUCUUAUUUUGGCUUAGUUACGAUUAAUAGGAGUAGCUUGGGGGCAUUUGUAUUCAGAUGUCAGAGGUGAAAUUCUUAGAUUUUCUGGAGACAAACAACUGCGAAAGCAUUUGCCUAAAAUACUUCCAUUAAUCAAGAACGAAAGUUAAGGGAGUGAAGACGAUCAGAUACCGUCGUAAUCUUAACCAUAAACUAUGCCGACUAGGCUUUGGAUGAAAGAUUUUAAAAUAAGAAUUUUCUCUUUGGAGUUUAUUCUUAGAUUGCUUCCUUCAGUGCCUUAUGAGAAAUCAAAGUCUUUGGGUUCUGGGGCGAGUAUUCGCGCAAGCGAGAAAGUUAAAAGAAUUGACGGAAGGGCACCACCAGGCGUGGAGCUUGCGGCUUAAUUUGACUCAACACGGGAAAACUCACUAGUUUAAGACAAGAGUAGGAUUGACAGAUUAAUAGCUCUUUCUUGAUUUCUUGGAUGGUGAUGCAUGGCCGUUUUUAGUUCGUGAAUAUGAUUUGUCUGGUUAAUUCCGAUAACGAACGAGAUCUUAACCUGCUAAUUAGCGGCAAAUACGAUAUAUUCUUACGUGGGACUGAAUUCGGUUGAUUUGCUUACUUCGAAGAAAAUAUUGGGAUACGUAACAGUUUCCCUUUCCCUUUUCUACUUAGUUCGCUUUUCAUACUGUUUCUUUUUCGCGUAAGAAUGUAUUUGCUUGAUUGUAAAGCUUCUUAGAGGAACGAUGUGUGUCUAACACAAGGAAGUUUAAGGCAACAACAGGUCUGUGAUGUCCUUAGAUGAACUAGGCUGCACGCGUGCUACACUGAUAUGUAUAACGAGUUAUUAAAAUUACGAUUCAGCUUGCUGUUUCGUAUUUUUCCUCCACUGAAAAGUGUAGGUAAUCUUUAUCAGUACAUAUCGUGAUGGGGAUAGAUUAUUGCAAUUAUUAAUCUUGAACGAGGAAUGCCUAGUAAGCAUGAUUCAUUAGAUUGUGCUGACUACGUCCCUGCCCUUUGUACACACCGCCCGUCGCUCCUACCGAUUGAAAGAUAUGAUGAAUUGUUUGGACAAGAAGAAGGGGGAUUAUAUCUCCUUUUUUCUGGAAAAACCGUAAAUCCUAUCUUUUAAAGGAAGGAGAAGUCGUAACAAGGUUUCCGUAGGUGAACCUGCGGAAGGAUCAUUA